AUAUGCUGAUUUAAGUGUAGUAGAUUUGAGUUGCUUCGAGAACUCAAGUCAGAAAGCUUUGGGACUACGAAAGGAUGUCAACGGUUCAAAGUAUAAAAAUAAAUUAUUGAAUCGUUAAUGUCUAAAAGUGAUCUUCAGGUCAAUAAUUUUGGAUUAAUUAUCAUAUUAAUGGACUGCAUGUCACUUUUAAUUAAUUCAAAAAAUAGGGACCAAACGGGGUCGAUCAUGGAAGCAAAAUAAUGACAGACGGGUCAUAUUAGCUUCAGUUGGUGAUAAACCAAGUGAUAAUUAAAUUAGAAUUAAUUAGCAUAAAACAAAGUACCUCAAAAAAAUUUGGGCAUGAUUUAUAACGUGGGUAUGCCAAAAAUUGGCAUUCG
rnacentral:lncRNA from 1 species